UAACUAUAUUUCAAAGUUAUGGCUGGUUGUGUGGGUCUGUUAAACAGUUGUUGGCUAAUUUUCCAUAGCAAAAAAGAAUAAUGACCACCUCAUAAAUUGUGUUUCUGUAUGCAUUUUGAUUAACAGAGAUUAUUAUUGAUUUAAAAAGGGGAGUCUGAAAGGAUUAAACUCCAUUAAUAAAUAAAUACUGUCUGAAUGUUAACAGUUUUAAAUGUCACUAGCCUAACACUUCAUAAUACACAGAUCUAACAAGUAUUUUCCUCCAGGCAGAAGGUCUCCAUGAAAAGAGCUUUGAAUAUAGCAGUACAUUGAAGCACAACUAACGACUUGGCUGAUUGUUUUUCUCUAUGCCAACUCCAAGGCUGUGCUCCCAGUGCUCCAACCACAGGCAAAAGGCAGCAGCAGAAGGUCUUUACAUCCCUGUCUUAACGGGGAAAAAAAUGCAACCUCCAGGCAAGGCUCCCUUGGGCUGUAGCCAGUCCCGGGGGGAGGGGGGGCGGACAGGGCUGGGGAUGAGUGCAAAAUGUAGUGCCCAGCAUCAGGCUGAGGAAGUCCUGAGUUUGAAGUAUCCAAAUGCGCAGAACAAGUCACAGAUUAGGUGUGCUUCUUGGUAGACCCCCACCAAAUUCUGCAUCUGUGUCUUGAAAAUGUGCUUGUACUGAGAAACAAAGAGCACCUUUUCUCUGGCCGAAUGCACGCAGGUGAAUUUUGCAUUCCGCAUAGCUAAACAACAAAUCCUUGGAAGAAUUUCUGAAUCCUUUGGAGAAGUAUGAGGAGGUAGUGUGAGCUUUCCCGUGAUCCUCCAUAAGCCGACCAUAUCUUUGCUUUUCUGCAUUUUCCCAGAGGCUGGGAACCAGGCCCAAAAAAUGUUGACAGGAAGGGGUUUUCCAAUGUAAAACAAACUCAGGCUCACGUUCAGAUGAUACAAAAUGUAAAUGUGCAAAAUCGCAUCACGGUCUUGCUCUCGUUUUUUUAUCAGUCCAGAAAGCAAAUAUCCAGAAGCCGCUCCAAGUCAUGACUUCAAAAGCGCGUAUCUUUUGCUAUCUGGAACCAGCUUCCACCAUGCCACAUAACCCCCUGGAAGAUUAGCCAACAUCGCUUUCAACUUACCACUUGCAGCUGCUUGGAACUCCACAUCGAUUCUCCGCAGAGUUGCAGCGCCUAACUGGACAGUGAACACAUGAAUCUCUGCCAGCACUGGAGUCUACGGCACCAUGAUUUGCAAACAUGUUGAAUUGCUAUUUUAUUCAAUAAAUGGGACGUACAAUAGAAAAUAGGUUUGGAA
rnacentral:lncRNA from 1 species